AGGGGUCAAGUGAUGAUUGAUAACGCAUAGUUCAGAUGAUAAAUUCUAUUAUGAUUAAUAUCUUCAGCAUAGUCUUUCGCUCCUAUCUGAUGACCCCU
rfam:Arabidopsis lyrata subsp. lyrata unplaced genomic scaffold ARALYscaffold_3, whole genome shotgun sequence.